AUGGCCAGUUUCACUGAGAAUAAGGAAGAGAAAAAGAUAGAAAGCAAAAUGAGAAAAAAGGCACAAUAUGUAUGGCAGCUCACAAUCUUUCAGAUCAGAAGGACCCGUUCUCCUGUUCUAUGUCGAGCAUGGAAAAGAACACUUCGUGAUCCAUCUACAAUCGAAGAAAAUUCUUUCAGGCAGUGUGCUUUUUGUAAUGAAGGAUUAACACGAAUUAACAAUAAAUUUUUUAAGUUUGAAAAUGUCACAGAAAUAUUUAGGGAACACACACAUACAGGUAGAACCAGUAUCUUGUUUAUUUACCCUGACAAUUCACUAUCUUUGUGUGGUUUUAUACAGGUGUUGACUUUCAAAGCUAAAAAAAAAAAAAAAAAAAAGGAUGUAAUCCCAGCUACUCGGGAGGCUGAGGCUGAGGCUGAGGCAGGAGAAUUGCCUGAACCCAGGAGGCGGAGGUUGCAGUGAGCCAAGAUCGCACCAUUGCACUCCAGCCUGGGUAACAAGAGUGAAAUUCCG
rnacentral:lncRNA from 13 species